GACGAACGAGGGCGGAGGGAGGAACAAAGGCAAGUCGAACGGAAAGGCCCUGCUUUUGUGGGGUGCUCGAGUGGCGAACGGGUGAGUAACACGUGAGUAACCUGCCCUUGACUUUGGGAUAACUUCAGGAAACUGGGGCUAAUACCGGAUAGGAGCUCCUGCUGCAUGGUGGGGGUUGGAAAGUUUCGGCGGUUGGGGAUGGACUCGCGGCUUAUCCGCUUGUUGGUGGGGUAGUGGCUUACCAAGGCACUGACGGGGCGCCGGCCUGAGAGGGGGACCGGCCACAUUGGGACUGAGAUACGGCCCAGACUCCUACGGGAGGCAGCAGUGGAGAAUAUUGCACAAUGGGCGGAAGCCUGAUGCAGCAACGCCGCGUGCGGGAUGUCGGGCUUCGGGUUGUAAACCGCUUUCGCCUGUGACGAAGCGUGGGUGACGGUAAUGGGUAAAGAAGCACCGGCUCCCUACGUC
rnacentral:rRNA from 1 species